GCAGGGGAGGGGAAGAAAUACCUGUGUUGGGGGCGGAGAUGCGGGGUGGUGGUGGUCCUUGAGCGCCCCCCCGACUUGGUUUAGAAAUAGUCCCUCCGUGCUACUCUAACCUCGCCUGCUUCAGGGUGGCACGGCCCAGGAUAAGCCUUGGGCCCCGCUAGACCUGAUUGCUUGUUGCAAGAGCCUGUAACGCCGUGUGUGUGGCUUAUUAGGGUGGUUAAGUACACCUUGAGCUCCUUCCCCGUUUCUCUUCCAGUCUCUUCCCUCAUCAGGUGGAGCCCCUUUGUUCCAGCCAAAGUUGGAAGGGAGUGUCCUUGUGUCCCCUGCCAAGAGAGGGAGGGCUGCUGCCUUUUCAAGGAUGUUCUAGGUGCAUCCCAUGAACUUGUGAGUAUUUAACAAGAAACCAAACCUUAAAAAAGAAAUAGUGCUGAUUGAUGCAAAGUGCCUGAGGUUGUGUCUCGGCCUAUUUGUGGAUCAGGACCUACCAGCUGAAGACCAAAGCUAUGAGAUCAAUAAAAUAUUUAUAAUGCUAAAUAAAGUAGUAAGAAUUAUACUAGUAAUGUGUCCUUUGUUUUGCAUUUGAUAGCAUGUUGGUGGCUUAUCAAAACACAUGAUCUAGUCUUUUCAAGGAUCAGAUGGGGCUUAUCCUGCUUUUUGACCUGUCCUGGCUUUGAGCUGUUCCUAACAUUGCACAGAAGCAAACCCAGGCUUGCUAUCAAGCAUACAUUGAACAAGGAGCCACAGCCCAGCACUGAAUGUCAGUUUUGGUGUGUGUUCUUGCCAUUUGAAUUCAUACUACUAUCUAGAGCAGGGAUUCUCAACGUUGGAUCCCCAGAUGUUAUUGGACUUCAGCUCCCAUAAUCUCCAGCCCUUCAGCUCCCAUAAUCUCCAGCCCAGGGGAUUAUGGGAGCUGAAGUCCAAUAACAUCAGGGGACCCAACAUUGAGAAUCCCUGAUCUAGAGCACACCGGCACAACUUUGUCCCUCCAGGUAUCUUUAGACUCUAGCUCCCAACAUCCCAGUCACAGUGGUAAGUAGUUGGGUAUGAUGGGAAUUGUAGUCCAACAUCUGCAAGAGGGCCAGAUGUUUGUAGCUCUGCUUUAGGGGUAUCCUAAAGUGUGAAGUGACUGGCAACUACCUGGUGUUGGCUAGCCAUGUACACUUCCAGAAGUGGGGAGGGACUCUUACACUAUGAUUCUGAACACAUUUGCUUGAAAGUAAACUGCUGAAAUCAAUGAGCUGUACUUCAGCCAAGUAUGUUCAAUAACAGAAUGCCUGUUCAGGGGUGUGGGGGUGUGUAGUGGCGCCAGCUAACAAGCAGUUUAUCAUGUUUAGUUAAAAGCAGUGAACAGGUAUACAGUGUUGGAGCUAUUCAGCCUUCAAUGUAACCCAAGUUUAACAGUGCUGUUUGACCAGGAAGCUUUGCAGGGAUGACCAUAAGUUCAGUUCAGUUAUAAGCUAGGCAUGAAGUAAUUGGGAGAACUGUGCCACAACAUAUUACUGCACAGACCUACUCCUGAACUUUAUCUUAAUUUGGUUGUGCAAAAUUAACCCUGUAGGCUUGCUUCUGGUCAGACAGUAUUGGGCUAUUAGUGCAGUGUGGUAUAGGGCAAGAUAUCUUCUUAAGCUUCACCACUGCCACCAAGUAGACAUCUGUAUUUUUUUGCCUGUCUACUAAAGCGGCCUUCCAAACCUCUGUUUUCUUUCAAAGCUAGGAAGGGUGGAAAGGCUUCUAUGGGGCAGGGAAAACAGAGGCUACAGUUAAAUUCAAAAAGAUUUUACUUUAAAAUAGUUCAAUUCUAAACAGUAGUCCUUUUGGAAAUCUUAGUGCAAAGAAACAGACAAGUAAGCAUAAGGGACAAAUAAAAUACAAGAAAUUUAUCUGAACUCGGCCCUAAUUCAGAAUCCUCACCAGAACUCAUCUUACGAUUGCCUCUAGUCGGCUUCUGUCGUGAGCCUGGCUUUCUCAGUCCCAGGUCUUGCUCUUUCUAUCCAGUUCCGGUGGUUCAAUACUAGACUGAUCCUUCAGCUGCUUUGAGUGAUUCAGUUCUCCAGUUGUCUUCAGCUCAACUCUCCCUGUUAUUCUUCAGCUCUAAUUUCAGUAGCUUUUCUCUCCUAGCUCUCUCCUCUUCAAAAGCUAAGAGCAGCUGCUGAGACAUUUGCUUGAGAGCCAGCUUCCACUCCAACUGGAACUUGAUCUCCUUCACUUGAACUAACUUUCUGCUGCAGGAAAGCCUCCUUUUAUUCUUUCCCCCCUCCAUUUUCUCUAAACAAGCCAAUCAAAAUAACUCUCAAGUUCCCUCCAUUUUUUUAAAACUGAUCUGAUCAAAUCAAACCCUCUUUCCUCCAGAAUUUAACCAUCUCUUCUCCCUCCUAAACCAAACUGUAGAACAGGAACUGUGAACUUUUGACCCCUGCACAGGUUUUUUUAAAAACACAGCAUAGGGGAUAAGCAAAUACUUAUGCAGCACAGAAAUCUGGAAUGCAAAGAGGUGGUUCAAGCUUCAUUCCUUCACAUCUCCUUUCAAACCUCUAGGAGGCUUGUGUGGUGGUUCUGCCUGUAGGAUCUAGCAGGCCGCCUGAAGUGUCCUGUCUGUAAUAAAGGAGCUGUUACAGUGGACGGGUCCAGUGGUCUGCUGAUUUGACAUGGUGAUGAGGAUGGGAUCCCCAUGUGGUGUCACUGCUGUAUCUACACUGGAAAUAUCCACAAAGUGUGAGUAAACAAUUGGUUGGUUAUAGGCCCAGAGGCUAUAGCCAGGACUUCAGGUAGCUUGCUAGAUCCUACAGGCAGAACAAUGACACAAGCCUCCUAGAGACUUGACAGGAGCAUGCACAGCAGUUAAUUUCUCUUUUCUUGACCUUGGAGCAGGGGGAAUCUUUUUUCAGUGGGAAAACUCCAUGGGCCAGGAAUCUUCACUAUUUUUUAAGUAGGGACAACUUUGGUUCAAAAAAUAUCCAGUAUGAGAGCCACUUCCCAUCUCCAUCCAGUACUGUGCUUUCCUCAGCACAGCGGGGAGGCCUGCAAAGCCCCAGCACCAUUUUUAAAGGCGCACACAGAGCAUAGGCAAGAGUUCUCCAUCACAGAGUGCUGUGACCAAAGUGCUCAAGUGGGUCACACCUUCCAGCACUGUGUGCCUUUGUAGAUUGUGCCGGGGCUUUACAAGACUCGCCCUGGAAAUCUUUUUUACCAAAGUGGCUACUGCAUCUAUCUUCCAAGAUACUGUUGUAUGUAUGGUAGUAUAUUUUGUCUGGUCUUUACAAGUUAUAGCCUUAAGAACACAACAGCUCUGCUGGAUCAGACCCAAGGCCUGUCUAGUCCAGCAUCCUGUUUCACACAGUGGCCCACCAGAUGCCUCUGGGGAGCCCACAAGCAGGAGGUGAGGGCAUGCCCUUUCUCCUGCUGUUGCUCCCCUGCAACUGGUAUUUAAAGGCAUCCUUCUCCUCCAAGGAGCCCAUAACCAUGUACAUGGUGGUUUGUGUUCAACAACCUUGUGAGGUGAGUUGGGCUCAGAGAAGUGAUUGGCCCAAAGUAAUCCAGUGAGUGUCAUGACUGAAUGGAGAUUUGAACUUGUGUCUUCCUGGUCCUAGCUCAACACUCUAACUACUAUGCCACACUGAUUCUACUACACCAUUGUAAUGCAGACUAUCUUACAACAGUUUCAGAAGAUAAUACUGAGCCAGAUAGACCAAUGGUCUGACUUUGUAUAUGGCAGCUUCUUAUGUUCCUAAAUAUAUAAAAUAUAAUGCAAUUCACUGCAUUAUAUUAUACAGUGUCAAUUAGAAUAAACAUUAAGUGUAAUGUUGGAGUUUUCUGUGGUUGUACAGUUUGGGCAACUCGGUAAUUAGUAAAAACAAACAAACCCCAAAACUUGCAGACUUAAGACCAGACUUAAGGCAUUGGUCUUGGGUUCCAAUUUCUUGGCUUUGUGGAGCUUGAGCCAAAUGAUAUGGCCUUAACAGACAUGCUGAAUGUCCAGUAAUGAUGUGCAAUUUCACAAAUUGUGCUUGCUUACAACUUGCCUUUGAUGCCUUUGCAUGGACACUGUGGGACAUCUUAGCUGGUGCCAGGUGCUCCAUCUUCCCCAUUUUCAGUUGGGCCUCAAAAACUAAGGAGAAGUAGGAGUGCAAGUCUUGAAAAGAAGGUUUUGACUAUCUAAUUGAACUAUUGCCAUCUAGUGGUAUGUUGUGACUUCCAAAGAUGUGCUUCAAAAAACUGGCUGUAAAGGAAGAUGUACCUGGAAGCAUUUUCUUUUGGUAAGACACUUCAGAGCUAAUAAAAACACUAACUCAUAAUGAGACUGCAAAUAAAAAUGUAGCUUGCCAACAGUGGGUUCUUAAUAUGCCUCUUUCUCCUGUGUUCAUCCCAACUCUAAGCAACUUGCUUCCUGACUAGAAACUGCUUCCCUCAAGCAGUGAUUGGGUACAUACGUCUUGCUAUCAAAUCAAACAUGAGUGUUUAUGUGAAGGCCUUGGAAUGGAUAUCAAAGAUUAAGGCUGUACUCGAAUGAUUGUGGGUGAAAUGGAGCAGCUUCUACUUUAUUGAUAAGGUGACAUUAGUCUUGCUCUUGGUUUAACAACGGAAACAUUAUGGAAAGGAAUGUCCAACUGGAAGGGGACAAUCAGGCUUCUCAAUUUGCUUAAUAGUAACUGAGAUCUUGGGCAUUGGAAUGUUUAGCUGCCCUCAGCAGCACUAUACAGUUGGCCAAUACUCAAAAUUAGCUGCUAUUUGCUCUUAACUCUUAGGAGGAAGUAGAAAAAUCACAUGUAAACCCCCUCCCCUAAACACAUAAAGGAAUUCCCUUUGGAUUAGGGUAGCUCCCUAAAACCUCAGCUGUUAUGGAUAAAGUGUGAAAUGGAUCUUCAAGCACAGACCAGUUACUAGGGUGGGGAGUGAAAUAAGAUGUAUUUAAAGAGAAAGCAAGAGUUUACAGGCAAAUAAACAUCAAUUGUUGGGCAGGUGGGGAGAGAACGUUAAAGGCAUAGCAAUAUUACAGCUUGGGCCAGGUGGCCUAGCCUUAGCUGUAAACCGUUUGAAAGUUAAGCCAGCUUUCAAAGGAGCAGAGUUGCACAGCCCUCCUUGUCCUUCAGGGAACCAAGGUGGACCCAGAGAAGAAGAAUCUUUCCAAUAUCUUAUGUCUUCAGACAUAAACCUGGUCAAUGAUCUUCCUAACUAAAAGAGCUAACCAUAAAUCUCCUGACCCCUUACAGGAUGAAAAGCAGUCCUCUAGAAAGGAAGGAAAAUAACUAUGCAGGUGUGAUGUGUCUGCCAUCACAGAAGGGGAAAGCACUGAGGCAGGAGACUGCCGGCCAGGUGACAGGUGCUGUAACGAUCUGUCCUCUAAAGUAGGGGCUGGCAGCUUCUAGAAGCUUUUUUGCCAGAGCUUUGGGAUCUGUCUGCACAAAAUAGCAGCUUGAGACAGAACCAGCUGCAAAUGGCAAUUUAGGCUGGUGGGGUUAGUAGUAAAAUGGCAGUUUGUACAAAAACUUAAAUCUACAGAAUGAAUUCCAGGAGGAUUCUGCUGGAUGAGAGGGAAGCAAGAUAGUCUGCUGAGGGUGGGAAGAAAACACAGAAAGCACAAACCCCCCCACAAAAAACUGAGUGCCUGAAGAGACUAUAAAUGGCAUAGCUAUUUACAUCAUGCCCCAAGCCUGCCAAUCCAAUCUGCAAUAUUGGCUGGAAGGUGUAAUAAACAUAGAUUCGGUUUGUCCAAGGGCAUUUGGUAAACUCUGCUGAGGCAUUGGGAAGGAAAGGUGGUCCCAUUGAGUCGGUGUCAACUCCUGGUGACCACAGAGCCAUGUGGCUUUCUUGGAGUGGUUUACCAUUGCCUUCUCCCGCACAGUAUGAGAUGGUGCUUUUCAGCACCAUCCUAUAUCGCUGCUGCCCAAUAUAGGAGUUUCCCAUAUUUUGGGAAACACACCAGCGGGGAUUUGAACCAACAGCCUCCUGCUCUCUAGGCAGGUUGCUUCCCCACUGUGCCCUUAGGUGGCUCUGGGGCAUUGAAGGUGAAAGGGGGGGGGGAAUGUUUUGCCCAGGAUGGAACUUCAUAACAGGUAAAACAAGAGGUUUCCAAAGCAUUUCAAGGCAAAUACAUCUGAAGAAGCGGGGUAAUAUAAGAGGGCAUUUGCUAGAGAUAACUGGGUGGAAGGGUCUCUCCCUUCCAUCAGCUCUCAACAACUGUUCGCUAUCUUUCUUUUGCUUAUUCUACACCACCACUUGCUGUGGGAAUGGAAAUGAGACCUGUUGGGGGAGGAGUUCUAGGGGGCAGUCAGGCGAGGGAAGGAUUAACUGUCCUAAAAACCUGCCAUUUAUUUUCAGCAGUUAUUUGUUCCCAUGUUGUUGCACUAACAAAUGUGGAUUUAAGAAGCCAUAUUUGCUGGGGUAACAUGUAAGCUUAAAUCUGCCUCUAUAUUGGUUUUCCGCCUAGGGAUGUACAUGAGGUGUUUGUGCAGCAGUCGGCAGGGCAGUGAGUGGUUCCCUUAGAAAGCAGGUAGGGAGCUCCUUAAUUGCUCAUCCCCACCUUGCUGCUUUUCUGGCAGUGCUGCUCUCAGAAAGGUCGCGUGUAGCUGUGGCACUCUUCCCUGCAGCCUUUGCGGGCUGUUGGCGCACACAUGCCUCAGAGGCUGCAGGGAACAGUGUUGCAGCCUCACGUGACCUUUUCGAGCGCUUGCCUGCUUUUUAAGGGAACCGCUCUUCACCUUGCCGAGCUGGUUUGACCGCUAGCACACACCUGAGCCAGUUUGGCACUUCCCAAAGGAGGCGCUGCACCAGCUUGUGCACAUCUCUAGUCUCUGCUAGUCUAGUUACCACUGCUUGCCAAGGAACAAGCUGAGGUGUGAAUGCAAACAGGUUAGGCACCCUGGAGUGUUUGCAGAUACCUGACACACUUUUCUCGGAUCCUUAAAUGCUUUGUUUCCUUUGGCUGUCUUAGUGAAAAGUAGGCAGUUUAAAGAAUAAUAGUGAGACUCUGGCUCAAGAACUUGCAGGACUUGUUUGUGACAGAAGUAGAGAUGACAGUGGGAUGUGAGUGAGCACCAGGCACUGCAGGGCUGGAUGAUGUGCACCGCAUUGUCUUCAAUAAAGUUUUCAAUUAAACCCCAGAUGGACCUUGUGUCUUGCUUACAAGCAUCCAACCUUCACAAUUGCACAGAGAAGCUUAAAAAUGUCAUUGAUUCCCCUCCAACCAUUUUGUAAAGAGAAAAGAAACCUCAUUUUCAGCCCUUUGUCAUUCAGCUUGUAUAUAAAUCUUAAAGGUUAAACAUUGUUAAGAAAUUAAAUGCAAUAUCCAUGUGGAGAGCAGUAUCAAUCUUUUAUUUUACUUAAAUACUUCUUAAAUCAAUGUGGUAUUGAUUUCAAAAGUGGUUUGCAGCCUUAAAAAGAUCCUUACAAUAGUGUAAAUACAACACAGCAGUGUUCAUGUAUUAUGUCAAUUACGCCAUAAGCACCUGCAGUGUUACAGCUUGUAUUUUGAAUACAGCCCUGUCACAUUCAAUACAGCUGAACAAAGUGGAACAUCUCUGAAUAUGUAAUAGCUGCUUCUGCAAGACUUGUUUCAUGUAAUGGCUGAACAACAUAUACCUCAGGGCUGCUCAACCUUGGCCCUCCUGCAGAUGUUGGCCUACAGUUCCCAUAAUCCCUGGCUAUUGGCCCCUGUGGCAAUGGAUUAUGGGAGUUGUAGUCCAAAACCAGCUGGGGGUGGCCUAAGUUGAGCAGGCCUGAUCUAGUGGAAGUGGGCUACUCAGGAACAGUUAAGCUGUUUCUCUUUUGUUCUUGACAUGGGUUUUCUAAGCUGUGCAUCGGCUGGCUUUUUUCUAAGCCACCCCAGGAAUAUAUGAAUGCAGCUCUGGGUCCUUUAUGGUGUUCAGUUUCCAAACUGAAGUAGUAGUUGGAUUUCAGCUUCUUGCUAUAAUAGAAUACUCAUACUAAAAACUUCCCUUCUGUAGUGCUUGCAAAAAAGUAACACAAGAUGCAUAGAAGUUUACACUUGCAGAGGAGUUCUUUAUUCAGACUGCACCAUGCUGGUCAUGCAGCAUUGGGUUUGCAAAUACACAUAGCCUUCAAAAGAUAGGUGGGGGAUAUGCUCUAUUGACACAGUUAUGUGUACUUUGUAAGGGCCUGCCUACUGUGUGCUGCAAUAAUGUGUAGGCAAGGCUACAACCAAACUAGCAUAGUGUGACGUGAACAACUUGAUGUGCCCCACUUGUGCAGAGUAACUUUUAAAAUGUUUGGUGACUGGUGGGUGAGACUAGAACAGUCCAGCAUUUGGGUCUUGGAGCUGAAGCUGCUUCUCAUGGUCCCACUGAGCCAUCCACUGCUAGUGGUGGAAGUAUGCACAACUUUAUGCAAAGCAUUGGCUACAGACAGGCUGCUGAAGAAUUCAGCAGCACUUUCCAUACUGAGCUUUGGUUUCUGGGAAGUAACCUGGAGGCCAAUACAAAUAAAUAGUAACUCCUUUAGCUUGUCCCAACCCUUGGCAAAUAGCCAAAGUGCUCCCCUGCCCUAACUGUGCUUAUCCGACCCAUUCGAGAACAAUGGGUAGAUGUCAUUUUGGGGUAGUAUUAAAAAAUAUGUUAAGUAAAUGUGAGAUUUCUGAAGGCACUGGCAUGUUAUCUUGGAAGUCUAUAAUAAAUGGCCUAUAAUGAGCAGCUGUAUGCCAGAGCAGCCAUUUGAUUUUGGCACACAAAGGGGUAGUGGAUAGCUUCUCGGCAUCACUGUGAGCUGGAAAUUGACCUAACUGUGUGAUGAAGUAAUCGGAUGGCUAUUUGCUAUAUUGGUAGCUGUAAUUAGCAUUGCUGACUUGGAAGCAAUCUCUGCUGUCUUCAUCUGAACUUGCCCCUGGGUAAGCAUGCAGAGACUUGGGCUAUUGGUUGUUCAAUUUGUUUGCAAAGUUGCUGAUUUAUUAGAUAAAAGUAACAACAAAGAACUUGCGACAAGGCCAUUGUGUUUAAGUAAAUACCAACCAUGUAGGUUUAGGCUUGUCUGUAUCUAAAUAUACAGCAACACUGCAUGAUAUAAUCAGCUAUCACAGGUGCUCUUUCAUGUAACCGAUGAACAAACUUUGCUUGGGUUGAUGCAUUUUAUUUGAACUAGCUCUAUGACGAGGUCCAGUUAACAGUGUGAGAAAAAGACACAGUUCAAGGACAGAGCACAUGUUGUGUGCAGGAAGCUCCUGGGUUCAAUCACCAGCAUCUCUUGCUUAAGGGACCCCAGGCAGCAGGAUUGAGGAAUGACUCUUGGGUGACGGUUGAGAGACGUUUCCAAUCAAUGGCUGACAUGCAGAGAGUGCAGCCUAACAGAACUUCCCAAUUAGCUACACCCAAUGCAGCAGAGAAACAGACAUUUUUGCUGCCCUCCCCUUCCUCAGGAAGCCCUCUGUGUCACCCAAAAAUACAUCUCCAAGAGCUGCAUUAUCUCAAGGACAUAUUUUUUUUUUGGAGUGGCACUGGAUUUCCUGGGGAAGGAGGGAGGUGUCAAAAAUGACAGAGUUGAUUCACCUGCACUAGUAUGGUAAAGCCUCAACAGAUGGCUGUAAUUGUGCAAGAGUAUGCUGCAAAUACUUCAGAUAGCCUGCCUUCACUUCAGAAGCGCUACUUAAAUGAGGAAAUAAGUCACUGACAGACAUAUGGAAUAUUGUUUUGAAUAAGCAGGAUGAUAUGUUUUGGCUAAAAACCAUGACUUUCUUCCAACAGCAGAUGGCAAUAUACAUUCAUGUGAAGCCAAAAUAAAACCCAGAUACUAUCUCAGAACUCACUUGAAUGAUUGAAAAUGCAAUAAACAAACCUUUAUAGUGGAAUAUGGAUUUAAUCCUUUAAAAUAUUUUACAAUUCUGUUAUCAAUAUGACACUCUAAAUCUUCAUGUACUGUAUUUGCUAGUGCAAUUUCUUUUAAAAUUAUGGAAAUCUUGGGAAGAGAGUUCCAGUAACAUUAUUAUGCCUUCUCAAAAACAGAUGAGUCUUGAUUAAUCUCACAGAAGCACAUUGUUAUAUAGCUUUAACUUGCAUGCACCCCCCCCCCAUGAAGUAAUAUUUCCUGGCUACCUACAGGUACCAAAUUUUGCAUAUAUAGUCCUGGCACUUAAAUUAGCUGAGUGCCCUACCUUUUACAUCGUAAUUUGCUGGCUGAAAGGCUUAAUUUUUUGUGGGGUGUUCUUAACAGAUUUUAACACUCAAACAGGUCAAUAAUUCAAAAACAAUCUUAUGCCCAAAAGAAGCUGAAGACUUUUUUCAAAUUCACAUUUUCUAGGCUUCAAAUUUACUAUGUAUGGUGAUUCAAUAAAAUAAACAAUGUUUGAAGUUGAAAUGCUACAAAUGUAAAACUCUUCUUUUACUUCCCUUUUCCCUUUCAUAAAAACAUUCUGACAUAUUUCAUUUCUUGAACUUGCCUAUAAGUAUAAUCUAUGCAAAAUGACUCUGCUUGGUCAAUGACAGCCUGCAAAACCUAGUUUUAUAUAAGUGUAUGUAUUUUAGAUGUAUACAUUGCAUUCUGACUGGAAAUUAAGAUAAUAUGAUAGCUGGAUUAAGGCCAACCUCAGUUACUAAUGCCUCAGCAAGUUGAUUGACAUACUCAUUAAAUUGCUUGAUUGAAGUCCUAUGGAAAUUUAAUAGUACUUUAGAGUAACUCCUGCAGGGGUGCAGCUAGGUAAUUUUGGACCCUGAACCUAAUGAGCUUAUUACCCACUCCCACCCCCUGGACAAAACAAGCCUCCCCUCCAUCUUUAUACAUUUCUUUAUACAGUAUGGUUGCUGACCACACAAAUGGCCUCUGCACAUGUGUGGAGCCCAUGCGCAUGCAGGUGUAACACACACAAUGCCUCACUAGCAUGCAAAGUUGGAGGGAGUGCUGUGAUAAUGAAAGUGGUGGUGAGUGGAGGAGGAAGUAUGGACCUGCUCUUCGUGUUGAAGAGUCUGUAGAAGCCCUCAGUUUUAAAGGGAUUGUGCUGUGAUUCGGAUGCCGAAUCAUGUUUCAGCACAUCCCUAGCACAUUGUCAUUUGAACCAUAGAUUGCCAUAUCACAGUUCAGCCUAUAUUGAGAGAAAGGUCUGAAUCCUUGUUUGUCAUCUGAGAUGACUUGUGAGUAAUCUGGACAUGGAAAGUAUAAUUAUUUGGCUCCAAAUCUGUGUAAUGGUGCAGAAUCACUUGUUCUGCAAGCAAGAACACCAAUUCUGAGAAAUUUAUGUGAAAGAUGUCCCUUAUUUAGUAUAUCCAGGUCUUCAUAGCAUUGAUCUUGAGACAGUCAAAUUUGCAAGAUUCAUUGAUGAUCCAGUGUAAUAAAUUCUGCAUUCAGAUCUGUGAACCUAAAGUCACUUAACAGACAAUCCUCUGGGCUUUAUAACCUCAAGAUUGGGUAGUUCAGUUUAUAUGCAAGAGUAAUGAACAUCCCAAAGCAUAGGACUGUGGUGGGAUGACAUGACAGCCAGAAAAUCAGGACAAAUUAACAAUAGAAGUGCUUGUCUGUUACAAUACUUUCUCAUAUGCCUGACUUAUUAGCAGGUGUAUACUUGCAAUUGCUACUGAUUUCAGCAGUUUGUUUUUCUUACCUUUGCUUGACAUUUCAGAAGAGUGAGUACUUUGGAGAAUAUCAGUGAAUUGAGGUGCUUAAUUGUGGGGAGGGGGAUAUGAGUAAUUUAAUCAUUUAUAUAAAGAGAUUCAGUCUAUGGAAUACUUGAUUUCAUCAUCAAAUAAAGCAACUUAGAAGGUGCUCAUCUUCAUCAGAUGAAAAUCUGGAACAGCUGUAGUGGGUAUGGCUUGCAAACACUGCUCUGUGUUUAACAUGAAAAUAUAGCCUUUGGUUUUCAUGGGGUGACAAAUAGUGUGUCAUCUGAAAGAAUGAUGAACCAUCAUACUGUUGAUUUUAGAUUGGAUCUAAUAUGGAUGUUGGACUGGAAUAUGUAAAUUAAAAUAAGUUGUUCUAGUAAAAACUAAUCAGCCUGCUUUCCUUUCACUGUCUCUACAACUGGACUAAAUUCAGUUAAAAUCAAGGUCCACAAGUUAGAUCUCUUGCACCUCCAAUGUUCAUGCAUCUGCCAUCUUGGAUUGGGGUGGAUGACAUCAUUACAAACUACACCAUUGAGGUGUCCCUGCGUGUCGCUCACUACAACUGUACCAAAUUUGGUUCAAAUUGGUUACACAGUCCUCGAGUUAGUGCACUUGCACCUCAAAAGUUUACUUGUCCGCCAUCUUGAACUGGGUUGGAUGACAUCAUCACAAUCUACGCCAUUGAGGUGUCCCUACAGCUGUAGCAAAUUUGGUUCAAAUCAGUUAAGCGGUUCAUGUUAACUCACUUGCACCUCAAAAGUUUACACAUCCACCAUCUUGAAUUGGUAUGGUUGACAUAAUCACAAACUAGGCCAUUGAGGUGUCCCUGUGUGUCACUCUGCAACUGUACCUAAUAUGGUUUAAAUUGGUUAGGCAGUCCACACAAAUUAGCCUGCUUGCACCUCAGAUGUUCAGAUGGCUGCCAUCUUGAAUUAGAGUGGAUGACAUCAUCACAGACCACACCAUUUGGGCAUCCCUAUGUGUGUCUGCAGCUGUAGCAAAUUUGGUUCAAAUUGGUUAGGUAGUUCACAAGUUAGCCCACUUGCACUUCAAAGGUUUAUGUGUCUGCCAUCUUGGACUGGGGUGGAUGAUAUUAUCACAAACUACGCUGUUGAGGUGUCCCUAUGUGUCCCUACAAUUGUACCCAAUUUGGUUCAUAUUGAUCUAGGCGUUGGAACGUUGAUGGGGGUGGGGGGGCACACACACAGAAUGCCGGGUGAUCUCAUAAGCCUACUGGAAAGUAGGCUUUAGAAAUCCUGCUAUGAGCCUAUGUAUCUUCUUUUGAAUACUGACCCACAUGAUGUGCAAAACAAUGCCUUCAUUCCUGAUUAGCUGACACUGCUGCACACACAGAAGCCAGCCCCAGUGGUGUUCGGGUAGAAAUGUGGUUGCUUAACUAAAAACAGCAUGCUCACAUUUGCACAGUGGUUGUUUUCAAUGAAAAUACUACUGCCCAAAUGUGAGCAUGCUGUUUUAAAUAGUUGCAAAACUGCACUCAUGCGCAACGCCACAGGAUGGCUUCCGCAUGUCCAGCAGUACCAGCCAAUCAGAAAUGCCAACAUUGCAUUUCACAUAAUGUGGGCCACUAUCAAUUCUUUCAUACUAGGGAUGUGCACGAACCGAGGUUUGUUCACAAAUUUAGACAAGGUCUGACCUAGUUUUGUGCCACUGUGGGAGGGAGGAGCAGUGAAUCUGAUCUUUUAAAAGGAGGAGAUCAGGUCCUUACCUGCUCUCCCUCACCCCAUGCAACUUCCUGCUACUGUGAUGCUCCCAAGAACCCCCGCAUGGCACCAGCAUGCACAUGGCUUCCGUGCAUGUAUGGCGUCCACACAUGCACUCCUUUUUAACGAUUCCACUUGCCACUCCCCCCUCCCGGCACUGCCAAACCUGUGCAUGAACCUCGAUUUAUGCACAUCCCUAUUCCACACACUCCUAACUUUUUAAAACCCCUGGAAUAGUAUUCACUACACUUGCCUAUAGUAAAUCUGCAAGCUGAAAGUUCUUCAUCUUAAGUAAUUUUUUCAAGUUCUUCAUCUGCGAGUUCUUCAUCUUAAGUAACGGCUUAAGUAAUUUUUAACAUACAAAGUAUAUACAUUGCCUUGUUUCACAAGAUUUCUGUUCUGUUGACCAUGGAGCUUUUGCUUUGGGUGUUUAAAUGCGAUCCAACGUCGUUAUCUUAUACCAUCAGUUCACAAGCCCACUGCAGUUUCAUAUUGUGCUUUUUAUGAGCAACUUUGAACAAGCAGAGCAUGACAAUGAAAGGAAUGAACAAGCUAAAGUCUGCUAAUUUUGCUUCUCUCUUCUUGCUUCCUCCUUCCCUAAGGUCUCUGUCUUUAUCUGCACAUUUCCAAGACGGUGUUCAAACAGUAAGACAAAUUGUGUUGGAUCUUUUCAUGUGUUAAUCAAACGCUUCUAACCAGAAUGCCAGAAUAUAGUUGUUUUCAUGUUUUCUGUAUCUUUUUCCUUGGUUGUUUGUCAGUGGUGCAACCCUCUGAUUCUGUUCCAAGAAAUUAUCUGGGAUUACAGCAGGAAUCUUAAUAGAUAAGUUAGGAAUCUUCAGUGCUAUGUUGAGCAGAAGUUUCUCCCUUCUGUAAUUACAUUGAUUUUAGUGUAUUUUUAUUUGUAAUAAAAAGGCAAUCAGACAUGUCUGAUCUUGAUCCUGUUAACUAGA